rnacentral:rRNA from 1 species
GAUGAACGCUGGCGGCGUGCCUAAUACAUGCAAGUCGAGCGAACAGACGAGGAGCUUGCUCCUCUGACGUUAGCGGCGGACGGGUGAGUAACACGUGGAUAACCUACCUAUAAGACUGGGAUAACUUCGGGAAACCGGAGCUAAUACCGGAUAAUAUAUUGAACCGCAUGGUUCAAUAGUGAAAGACGGUUUUGCUGUCACUUAUAGAUGGAUCCGCGCCGCAUUAGCUAGUUGGUAAGGUAACGGCUUACCAAGGCAACGAUGCGUAGCCGACCUGAGAGGGUGAACGGCCACACUGGAACUGAGACACGGUCCAGACUCCUACGGGAGGCAGAAGUAGGGAAUCGUGCGCAAUGGGCGAAAGCCUGACGGAGCAACGCCGCGUGAGUGAUGAAGGUCUUCGGAUCGUAAAACUCUGUUAUUAGGGAAGAACAAAUGUGUAAGUAACUAUGCACGUCUUGACGGUACCUAAUCAGAAAGCCACGGCUAACUACGUG